rnacentral:rRNA from 1 species
UACGUAGGGACCAAGCGUUGUCCGGAAUCAUUGGGCGUAAAGAGCGUGUAGGCGGCUUGUUAAGUCUUGCGUGAAAUCUCGGGGCUCAACCCCGAGCGGUCGUGAGAAACUGGCAGGCUAGAGUGCGGGAGAGGAGAGUGGAAUUCCUGGUGUAGCGGUGAAAUGCGCAGAUAUCAGGAAGAACACCCGUGGCGAAGGCGGCUCUCUGGAACGCAACUGACGCUGAGGAGCGAAAGCAUGGGGAGCGAACAGG